rnacentral:lncRNA from 1 species
AUAUAAAUAAUGGGAUGCAACUACCUCGAUGAUAAACAACAACGGAGCCCACUGUGGCCAUGUGUAAGUAUAUGAAAAUGCAUGUUAACUGCAACAAUGUUAACAUCAUCCAAAUAUAGAUGAAACUGAAUGUAGUCAUUUUAACCAUACGUAGCCAUUUUAACUGGUAUUGAUGAAACUGAAAUGGAUAGUUCAUACUUAGAAAUGGCAUUGCAUUCCUCGACAUCACAUUGUGCAUAACUUAAAUAAACACGACAUAUGUUAACUACAAUAGGCUUAUAAUAACAAGUGAAUAUACCAAUUGAAAUUAAUAUUAGUGAGACUAGUUUAAUGCUCGUGCGUUGCU